GGAAGAUAUGGUAAAAUUCAAGUCAAAAGAAAAAGGACAAGAAACUCUAUCAUUUUAUGAGACAUUUUAUACAAUUCACCUAGAAAUUUAUUGUAUUUCACCUUCAAAUUAUAACAAGAGGGGGUUUCUUAGGGCACUGGACAAUUCUCACCCAGAAGCCCACAGUACCACAUUUCCCUGAGCACCAUGAUGGUAUGUUAACUACUCACUAGAGAUUGGCAGAGUUUUUGACAGCAUCAACUGUUCUUUUUCGGAUGAAGUUUAAAUAUAUGAGCUGACUUCACUUACAUAGAGUUAUUGUGAAAUUCAGUACUUGAAAAGGUUUUUUAAUUCAAAUAAGAAGGUAACAUUUUUAUCCUGUGUAUGGGUCAAUAUGCCAUGGAGUAAGAGGGGGCAGUAUAACUACCCAAUGACUUAUGAUGGUAAGUAGAAUCUACGUAAUUCUACAGGCAAGUAAUAUCUCUGUAACUACUUCGUAACCUGAAUUAUAGAACUGACUGUUCAUAGAGAUCGUAUUUCCUGAAGCAAAAACUUCAU